rnacentral:rRNA from 1 species
AUUGAACGCUGGCGGCAGGCUUAACACAUGCAAGUCGAGCGAGCGGCGGACGGGUGAGUAAUGUCUGUGAACCUGCCUGCUAGAGGGGGAUAACUACUGGAAACGGUGCCUAAUACCGCAUACUAUCGGAUGUGCCCAUAGGGGAUGGGCUAGUAGGUGGGGUAAUGGCUCACCUAGGCGACGAUCUCUAGAUGGUCUGAGAGGAUGAUCAGCCGCACGGGGACUGAGACACGGCCCGUAGGCCGACGGGAGGCAGCAGUGGGGAAUAUUGGACAAUGGGAGCAAGCCUGAUGCAGCCAUGCCGCGUGUAUGAAGGAGGGCUGAGGGUUGUAAAGUACUUUCAGUGGGUAGGGGUUACCCGCAGAAGAAGCACCGGCUAACUCCGUGCCAGCAGCCGCGGUAAUAC